rnacentral:rRNA from 1 species
AGAGCGAACGCUGGCGGCAGGCCUAAUACAUGCAAGUCGAACGAGCCCUUCGGGGCUAGUGGCGGACGGGUGAGUAACACGUGGGAACGUGCCUUUUGGUUCGGAACAACUCAGGGAAACUUGAGCUAAUACCGAAUGUGCCCUUCGGGGGAAAGAUUUAUCGCCAUUAGAGCGGCCCGCGUCUGAUUAGCUAGUUGGUGAGGUAAAGGCCCACCAAGGCUACGAUCAGUAACUGGUCUGAGAGGAUGAUCAGCCACACUGGGACUGAGACACGGCCCAGACUCCUACGGGAGGCAGCAGUAGGGAAUCUUGCGCAAUGGGCGAAAGCCUGACGCAGCCAUGCCGCGUGAAUGAUGAAGGUCUUAGGAUUGUAAAAUUCUUUCAGCGGGGACGAUAAUGACGGUACCCGCAGAAGAAGCCCCGGCUAACUUCGUGCCAGCAGCCGC